CUCUUGUUGCCUUGUGAGGAAGGUAUGUGUUUCUCCUUCGCCUUCUGCCAUGCGUGUAAGUUUCCUGAGGCCUCCCCAACCAUGUGGAACUGUGAGUAAAUUAAAACUUUUUCCUUUAUAAAUUAUCCAGUCUUGCUAUCUUUAUAGCCAGGUGAAAAUGAACAAAUAGACUUUUAACAGCAAAAUAAAGGAAAAUGAAAAACCUUCUCUCCAGAGGUGACCACAAUUAACAACUUGGAAUAAAUAAGUAAUAUUUAAUUGGUUGCCAAAUCUUUGACACAUCUGAGUUACUUUUAAUCAUUGUAGGAAUUCAUAUAUUCUAAGCUUUUAUAAGCUGAACUCCAAACAAUAAAACUAAGAGGAAGAAAUUAUCGUGUUGCAUAAAACGAGUUAUAAAUUGUUCUUGUACACUUUAUAACAUCCUUCUAGUGUGUGAAUUUCGGGUUUUCUGAGUUUUAGCUAAAUCUGUGUAAGAAUGACAUAUUACAAAUUAAUAAUGGGAUUAACUGUCUCGUAAGUGCAAAAAGCAAAUUUCUAAAACCUGCCUUAGCCUAUAAAGGCUUCAGCUGUCUACCUCAGCAGGAGGCCAAGAGAACCUGAAUGUUUUGCUAAAAGACCUGUGAGACUGGAAAAAUUCCAAGUUCAAAAUCAUGUGCUUUUGGAAGAAACAUAUGCUUAACAUUCUGCAAGGAUCUUUCAGAAAAUAGAAGGAUUUUCUAUCAGGAUACUUAGAAAGUGAGAUGUAUAUGUCAGGCUCUGCAACAUUUAAAAAUAGCCUGUUUUCUCCAACAAAUGGUAUACAGUUUUUUUUAUAGAUAAUGUUUUGAGAAAAUGAAAAUACUCCUAUAUGAAUGAACUUUCAAAGCUAUUUUCUGAGCUGUUAAGCAUUUUCUGUGUGUGUGUUUAACACUUUGUUAUAAAGAGCAAAUCACUUGAAAAGAAGAUUCUUUUUCAUAGUCUUACUUGCAAUGUGAGUUGAAAAAUACUUUCAGCUUUCACUACUCAGUUGUUAUGGGGUAUCACUCUUUCUGGCUUGUCUCCCGGCCGUUUUCUUAUUCUUUUACUUUACUUUUCUUUCUUUCUUUCUUUCUUCUUCUUCUUUUUUUUUUUUUUUUGACACGAAGUCUUCUUCUGUUGCCCAGGCUGGAGUGCAGUGGUGCGCUCUUGGCUCACUGCAACCUCUGCCUCCAAGGUUCAAGCGAUUCUCAUGCCUCAUCUUCCUGAGUAGCUGGGAUUACAGGCGUGCACCACAAUGCCUAGCUAAUUUUUUUUGUGUUUUUAGUAGAGACGGGGUUUCACCAUGUUGGUCAGGCUGGUCUAGAACUCCUGACCUCAGAUGAUCUGCCUGCCUCGGCCUCUCAAAAUGCCAGGAUUACAGACGCGAACAACUGCGCCUGGCCCAUUUUCUUUAUUUUAUGUGGAGAGGGUUUCUUAUCAGCAUGUGAUUUAUAUCUUUGUGCAGAUUAGCUGCUAAAAGGGACAGGAAGAAAGUAUUAUAAAGCUUUGCUGUGUUCUCUAGUGGGAGGGUACUGGUGGGUAGAAACAUGCUUUGUUUCCCAAAUACACAACCAGCCUUGGUAGAUGGGGACAGAGGCAUAUGGUCUCUACUGGAAGUUACUUGCAGAGCCUACUUACUGUUAGACUUACGAGGACGAAAGAAUCUUGAAAUGUCUUCUAAUCUGCCCCCGUGUUCAGGUAGAACAUUGCAUAAGCAUUGUCUUUUAAUGUCUUAUUUUCCUUCUGUUCUUCUUUUCCUUUUCUCCUCUCAGUCCCCCCACUCCAUCCUUCCUUCUGCCAUUUCCUUGUCCCUCCUUCUUCCUCUCAGGGAAAUUAUUCAUCCUCUUUUCAGAUUGCCCCUGAGUUGGCCAGAGUUCAAGGGAGAGGACCCUGGCUCAGGGAUCACAAGAUUUAAACCCAGAGCAGGUGGAAAAGUGGCUCUUUAAUGAGAUCACAGAUAAGAUACACAAAUUACAAAAAAUUAUUGAUUGGCUCAUGCUCUGGUCUAAUUCCAGUUUAGGAACCAAGUCUCAUGCACUUGUACUGGUUGUAAGGAAAUCACCAUGUUUAUGGUGUGAAUGAGGAUUAAACUGGGACCCAAGGCAUCUUUGGAAGAGGCUGGGGCAAGAAGCCAACUGGCCGCUCCACCACCCCUGACAUUUUGGAGUUCAUACUUCUCUUGGUUCACUUUCCCCAGAGGUUACCACAUCAGCACUCAGAGAUUGUCUCUGUCUUAGUGCUGCCAAAUACACUGCCAGGAACUGGUGCUUUCUUUUUUAUUAGUUGUAGUUUCUGAGGAGUAAUUAUAGCUUUUCCUUUCUGAGAAUGAUGUUUUCAGGACAUAAACAUACUCCACACCUGUUUUCUGUAACGUUGUCAGAAGAUAGCCCUCAGCUGGCAGCUCCCUCUGGAAACUGCCCAUGGCUGUUCUUGGUGGAGGCAGCUUGCAUUAGUGACUAACUUAGGAGGAAUCUAAGGCCAGGUGCUCCUGCUGCCACGCAGGACAAUUCUGAAGGUCCAUUUUGGCUUUAUUGUGCCUCCAUGUGAGGCAGGACAAUAGGGUCUGGAGGCAGGGAAACCAAGGCCAAUUCAUGCCAACUUCCUAGAAAUAAAAGGAAAGCCCCGACUUUCCACACCUAAGUAACAAAAGGACCAGAGGCUACUUACUUUGCAACGUCGCUACCCCCGUCCCCCAUCCCCCCCUUGCUUUCUACAACCAAUCAGACACUUGUUUAGGGUGUAACCUUUGUAACUUCAGCCUCUGAUUGCAGACCACUACUUCAUUUACUUAGGGUGUACACCAAGUAACCAAUGAAACCUUUAGAGGGUGUUUAAACCCCAGAAAAUUCUGUAAGGAGAACUCUUGAGCCGGCUCCCCCUCAGUGGAGUGUACUUUCAUUUUCAGUACAGCUCUGCUUUUGUUGCUUCAUUCUUUCCUUGCUUUGUGCGUUUUGUCCAAUUCUUUGUUCAAAAUGCCAAGAACCUGGACACCCUCCACUGGUAAUACAUGGAGUGGGCUGAAGCCUUUGUUGAGGCUGUAUCACUGCUCAGCUUCUCUUUCUCAGUCCUGGUCCCUUCUCCUUCCUUUCACAGGGCUUAAUCCCACGAGCAUUCUCUAAUAAAUGUGCUGCGUGUGAAUCCCUGUUUCAGAGUCUCUCCAGGGAACCUAACCCGUAAAAAUUAUCUUUUCUUAAUCUUGCCAGGGAAGACAAUCAUGCACAAAAGUAAAAACCCUCCAAACAGAAAAAGUCUCAUAAAUUACUGGCAUUACAAUACAUUACACAGGCUGGUGCUUUAGCAUGCCAAGGUCAAGUUCUCAUUCUCUUUGGCUGGGCUACAAGAAUGGGUGGGUAGAACCCCAAACAACUGGGUAGAAGAACAGAGAUUCAGACUUUCUCAUAGAAAAGAAAUUUCCAGAACUGACUCAAUACCAAGCUACAUCGGAGGCACCUUCAUGCAGGGGCUAAGGGGAUAGACUCUGUGGACAGAAUACCUUAGUUUGCAUUCUGGCUCUGCUAGUCACUGUGUCUCCAUGCCAUACUCCUCUCAUUUGUAAAAUGAGAACAGUAGUGGUACUUUAUAGGGUUAUGAGAGACUGAAUGUACAAAUAGACAAUGGCCAGACCAUAUGCAGAAAUAGUACCCUUACGGUCUGCAGCAACUAGCCCAAAAACCAACCCAUUAAGCCCAUGAAGCUAGCCUGCCUACAAGUCAGCUUUGUAUGAAAUCAGACCACAAUCUCUAACAAACAGUCCAGGAAGUCAAACAAUAACUGCUGUAACAACUGGCCCCAAGUGGCCAGGACUUGAUAAAUGACUGACAGCUUCCCCAGUUUUUGUUCCUGAUUCCAAUAUGCAACCAACCAGGGAAAGUUAAAUAUGCUCCCUAUAGGAUGCUCUGCUCCUAGUCAGCCCACCCACAGCUUCCCCAUACCAACGUCCUUCAAUCAGAACAUACCAGAAGCUGUCCCUUCUUUCUACUAUGAAGCUUUCCCAUUUUUCUGCCUGCCUUUGAGUCUCUGCCAAAACACGUGAUAGUGGUUGACUCCCUUGCUAUAGCAAGCUUUGAAUAAAUAGAUGUCUUUGUCCAUUUUCUGCUGUUAGAAUAGCACAGACUGUGUAAUUUAUAAAGAAGAGAAGUUUAUUUGGCUCACAGUCCUGGAGGCUGGGAAGCCCAGGUUUGAGGGGCCGCAUCUUGGAGAGACCUUUCUGUUGCAUUAUAACAUAGUGGAGAGCAUCACAUGGCAAAGGAGGACAAAAGAGGGUGAGACAGAUAAAGGGGGCCAAACUCCUGCGAUAACUAACCCACUCCCACCAUAACGGUGUUAAUCCAUUCAGGAGGGCAGAGCCCUCAUGACUUAACAGCCUCUUAAAGGUGUCACCUCAUAACACUGUUACAAUGGCAAUACAAUUUCAACGUGAGUUUUGGAGGGGACAUUCAAAUCACAGGAAUUACAUUUGCUUUCUCAUUUGGGUGGUCUUGUUUAUUUCCACAGUUAAUGAGUGAAUGGGUUAACAUUUGUAAACCACUUGGAAACAGUGCCUGGCACAUAAUGCUAUAUAAUACUUUAAAGUAAAAUAAGUAGCAGAUCAUGGUUUAGAGGUGAUACCCAGACUUAAUAAUUUCCUCACAUGUUUUGUUUAAUACUGUAUUUUUUAUUAUAUGAAUCCACUUUAAUUAAUUAAUCAUUUUUUUUUUUUGAGAUGGAGUCUAGCUCUGUUGCUCAGGCUGGAGUGCAGUGGCACGAUCUUGGCUCACUGCAACUUCCGCCUCCUGGGUUUAAGCAAUUCUCCUGCCUCAGUCUCCCGAGUAGCUGGGAUUACAGGUGCACACCACCAUGCCCAGCUAAUUUUGUAUUUUUAGUAGAAACGGGGUUUCACCAUGUUGGCCAGGCUGGUCUCAAACUCCUGACCUCAGGCGGUCCACCUGCCUUGUCCUCCCAGAGUGCUGGAAUUACAGGCAUGAGACACCACGCCUGGCCCUAAUCCACUUUUAUUUCUGAGGACUCCUGAUUUUCAGAAGUUCUUAAGUGGAGAAAUUGACCUACGUAGUCGGUAGAGGGUUCUAUAGCAGACACCAGGCCUGACAGGUGUCCCUUCCUUUGCUCCAGAUGGCUUCCAGGAGGGCUUUUUCAACACCCCAUCUCUGUAGGUUCUGGUGUUAAUUUCUCAAGUGUCCUAUUGAUGCCUUUGAUUCUAUCUGUCUUCUGGGCCCAAGACCCUUGGUUCUGGAAGGCUCUCUUCCCAUGUUGUACUAUUUUGUGGAUCCCAUAAUCUACUUUUAUCCAUCAUGAUGCCAUGUUCACAUGUCAAUUACACUAUCCUUUUCAGCCUUGUCUGAUGGGAAAAUUCCUCCAGGAAAUUCUACAUACACCAAUAAAAUUCUAUAUAUGCCCAUUUAUAUCUCUGAUCUAUUAGCCUACCAGAAUUAUCCUAUAAAAUACCUAGAUAUGUAGAGAAAUUUGCAACUCUGGUUUCUACUUCCAGAUUAUAGCAGGCAGAAACUUUGGCUCUUGGCCCAUUGAGUUACUCUUGAUCUGUUUCAGUGUUCCAGACUGGGACUUAGGGGCAAAAUGAGGCCUUGUCCUUGGCCUCGAAAAAGGUCAAAAUUUUACUUCAGAAAACUGGCAUGUCUAGGUUUCAGAUUGUCCUGGGUCUUCUGGUGUCCUGAGCACAUUGAGGCUUAUUCUUUUGCUUUUGGUUGUCUGUACCAGCCGCUUAUACAGGGCCAGUUCUGACCUGGAGGGUGAUGGCAUGGAAUUUAAGACUGGUGACUUGGGGGUUUAUGGGAAUAUGUAUGAAUUCCAGUUUAGUUCCAAUUAGUGGCUCUGAAUUUUCUUUCCCUUGAUAUGGUCAGAUUAUGCUGUGAUAUUGGCAGAAAUGAGUUCCUGACUUUUUCCCCUAUGGUCUAGAUAGCAGAAAAUCCAGCUCAGCUAGACAUAUAAGCUUGUGCACAGACACUGCUGAAAAUGGUGGCUGAUGUGGGCGCUCUAGGAGACUGGCCCUGUUUUCACAUUAUCGUGGAUCCUAUGGAAAGUGGACACUGGUAAAAGUGUUUCUGGAGGGGUUUAAGAUGGGCCACUGAUGCUCUAAUUUCCCUGGGUCCUGGAGCCCUUGGUUCUGAUAACUGAUAUCCCGGAUCUUCAAGGAGUGUAGACUUUAGGACCACACUAGAGGUCAGGGUCCUGGCCUGGCCUUCAGAUUAUCCCUGGUGGUCCUGAGCUGUACUUGAGCUUAUUUCCUCAAGCUACCCAUCAGAAAACAGGAGCCUUGUUGGGAUGAGCCUAGUUCAUUGCUAAUGAGCUUGACUUAAUUUUGCCCCUAGAAGCUCGAGGAUUUGUUUGGAUUUGGCAUCUCUAUUCAUUUUUUUUUUUUUAAGCAAGCAUGUCUAGUGGACUUAGUUUCAUGCUGGUUGGAGGGAAAAUUAAUCUCUGACCUGAGCAGCCUAAUGGCAGGCCAGCUGGCAUCAAGCUUGGACUCUGAAAGGGAGGCAUUAGGGUUUGGGCUUUGCUCUCUGUAGACAACCAGGUGGCCCCUUGGGAAAGUGAGAUCAACUCUUCAUUGAAAGGAGGUUGAUAUUGAAGAAAAGAACUUUAACAGUGUUUGAAUACUUUUCUUUUCUUUUUUUUUGGUUUGAGAUGGAUUCUCACCCUGUCACUCAGGCUGGAGUGCAGUGGCAUGAUCUCAGCUCACUGCUACCUCCUCCUCCUGGGUUCAAGCGAUUCUCCUGCCUCAGCCUCCCAAGUAGCUGGGAUUACAGGCAUGUGCCACCACACCUGGCUAAUUUUUUAAAAAUAAUAUUUUUGGUAGAUUAGGGGUUUCACUAUGUUGGCCAGGCUAGUCUCGAACUCCUGACCUCAAGUGAUCUGCCCACCUCAACCUCCCAAAGUGCUGGGAUUACAGCCGUGAGCCACUGUGCCCAGCCAGUAUGUGAGUUCUUAAUAGUCAAAGCAAAAGAGCAUGUAGGUAACAAGUUUGUAAUGGAAGAAGGACUAGAAGGAGGUGAUCAGACAUGGUUUAGAACAGUGAUAGUGUGGCUUGAAAGCUGUGGCAUGCAGCUGGUAGCCCAAUGUUGCCAAGAACCACCAUCCAUUUGGAAGCAAACCCUUCCUUAGAGUGGCCUGUUGGAGUCUCCACCCAUGUAGAAUCAGCUUGCAGAGCUGGUUCCUCAAAAGAAAAGCUUUGCAAUGAAUUAGAAGGACAAUUUUAAGAGAAAAGGUGCUCUGCUAGUGACAGCUGACAGCAAAUUUGGAGACCGAAGGACUAUUUCUUUAACAGGUGACUCUGAGUCAUGAAGAAAAAUAUUAUAUUUUACAAAUUCUAAGAAUACAUCUAUAGGAUGCAUUUACAAAGACCAGAUUAUUACAAACAAUUCAAGUAAUAACAAGUUCAAUAACCUAGAGAAUUCACUGACAUGGAGCACCAUUUCUCAGUGUCAAGAUCUGUUGCAAGGACCAUAGUUCCAUCGAACUAGGUUGAAAGAGAAAUCACUGGAAGGAUACUGGGCUCUCUCAGGAAAUGAGAAAGUAGGUAUGGGCCUCAUAGAUGCUAAAACCAAUAACUUAGAGGGUCAGGAAGGAGAAUUCUCUCUUCUUCUCUGAAGCCAGGUAGUCUAUUUUCUUUGCUUUUCUUAAUCUCCCUGAUUCAUGAUUGGCAUUUUCUUUUCUUUUUUAUUUUUUUGAGACAGGGUCUUGUUCUAUCACCCAGGCUGGAGUGAAGUGGCAUGAUCAUAGCUCACUGUAACCUAUAAUGCAUGGACUAAAGUGAUCUUCCUGGCUCAGCCCCCUAAGGAGCUGAAACUACACUCAGGCAUGUGCUAACACAACUGGUUGAUGUUUUUUUUUUUUUUUUUGAGACAGAGUCUCACUCUGUUGGCCAGGCUGGAGUGCAGUGGUGCAAUCUGGGCUCACUGCAACCUCCAACUCCCGGGUUCAAGUGAUUCUCCUGCCUCAGCUUCUCAAGUGGCUGGGAUUACAGGCGGAUGCUACUGCGCCGGGCUGAUUUUUGUAUUUUUAGUAGAGAUGGGGUUUUGUCAUGUUGGCCAGGCUGGUCUUGAACUCCUGACCUCAGACAAUCCGCCUGCUUCAGCCUCCGAAAGUGCUGAGGUUAAAGGCAUGAACCACCAUGCCCGGAUCUUUUUUUUUUUUCCUAUUUUUUAUAGAGUCAGGGCCUUGUAAUGUUGCCCAGCCUGGUCUAGAACUCCUGGCCUCAAGUGAUCCUCCUGCCUUGGCCUCCCAAAGUGCUGAAAUUAUAGGCGGAAACUACUGUGCCUGGCCCUAGAUCAGCAUUUUCUAUUUUAGCAUGCACAUGGCUGUCCCAUCCAAGCUGCAUGUAGCCUUCUAGAUACUCAAUAAGAACUCAGUACAGGCUGUCUGGUCCUCCUGUCUUUUGGAUCCAGUUCUCUCAUGACAUCAUUUGCUUGGCUCAUAGUAUUGGUAUUGGCAUGUAUUGGUUCUUCUUAGGUCAUGUCCCCAGCUCUUGUCCAAUCAGCUGUGGUCAUGGGGGCAAAAUGACUGUAAGAGGAGUUUUAUUCUGUCAUUCAUUCAAUAAAUAUUGAACAUCAAAAAAUUUUGUUUUGGCCAGGUAUUCUAAGUAGCUGGAGUUCAAUCUUGAGCAAAGCAUACAUACAUGGGUCUUGUUGUCAUGGCCUUAUAGUAUAGCAGGGAAGACAGAUAUUAAUGAAAUAUUGUAAAAAUUAUUUAUUUAUUAGAGACAGGGUCUCACUCUGUCGCCUAGGCUGGAGUGCAGUGGUGUGGUCAUAGUUAACUGCAGUCUUGAACUCCUGGCCUCAAGGGGUCCUCCUGCCUCAGCCUCCUGGGUAGCUGGGACUACUGCUGGGACCACUAUUUAUUUUAAAUUUGUAGAGACAGAGUUUUGCUAUGUUGCCCAGGCUGGUCUCCAACUCCUGGCCGCAAGUGAUCCUCCUGUCUUGGCCUCCCAAAGUGUUGGGAUUAUCAGUGUGAGCUGCCAGGCCUGGCCAGAUAUUAAUGCAGUAUGAACACACACGAAUAUGUAACAAGAUGCUGUAGGGUGCUGAACGGGAUCCUGUUUUCUCAAUUUUAUUACUAAGGCUCACAAUAAGGAAAAACCACAGCAAGCAUUCUGUACUCUAAGUUGGAGGGACAAUUAGUGCUCUGGACCAGCCACACCACUCAGGACUUCUUGGGAAGCACUCAGAGAACAGACCCAAAUGCCUCCCACAACACCUGACCCCCCUCCUCUGGAUAUGAGAAGAGGGCCUGGAGGGGGAAGAGGAAUGCCGCCUUUUGGAGGACAGCAGUGUUUGAGAUGUGAAGCUAUUCUUUUCCUUCUCAAGCUGGAGGGAAAGUGGGGAUUUUUUCUUUCCAAAGCCAAGGCAGGGAAGCCCCCAAGAGAACCAUUAGUGAAGGAGCUGCCUUGUAUUCUUAUGAACAGUUCAGUUAAUAACAAGUUAAGUAACAUACAGUAGGGUCUCUAAGCGGGCAUCUGCUCAUCUAGCAGACUUGCUGGGCUGCUGCUGUGUUACUGGAACAGGACAAAGGCUUUCUGGGGAGAGAUCUGUGGCAGGUGGGAAGGAAGUCAAUGUUUCCUUGCCUCAGGCUUCAGGUUAUUGCCAACUACGGAAGUUGGAUAUUACAAGGGCCUACUGGCUGAAGAAUUGGCCAUGAGGGAAGAAGAGAUUGGGGCUACAGAGGCCCUGGGCUGCUACAUUAUGGCAUAAAUUAAUGCACAUUAAAGCCAGCAGCGAUUGGCCCAGUCACUCUAAGAGUCACCAUCUGUUUGGGAAUGAGCCCUCCCUCCGAGGGGCCUGUGGAGUGUCUACCCGCCUACCUGACACUAAAGACCAGAGAUCUAGGAGGGCAGUUAAUGGCCCUUGGGAGAGAAUGCCAAGUUCACUCUUGUUCCUCUUUUUACCCCAAGACCAAAGGAGCAGGUACAAGGAAGAGAAAGAGGGAAGGGGAGGUGCAUGAGAACAGACCCCAGACUGUGUCCCCUACAGCAUCCCCCACCCUCUCACCCUCAGCCACUGGAGCCACAAAGGAGAGAAAGAGACCUGAUCGAAUAUUGACUUAAAUUUUAAAAUGAACAGGACCAAACCUUUAAGAAACAGAACGCAAUUGUUUUCAUCAUGGAAACUGAUCACUAAGAUUAUCAUGGUAUUCAGUGAAAAGGGAUUUUAAAUAAGGGAGUAAGUAAGGGGCUCAGGGUUUGGGGGAGGUGGACAGAAAGCAGAGAGGCAUUGCAACCAUGUGCUCAGCUCCACCUGGCAAGAAACCUACGGAAGCAAGAAAUCAGUGUGAAAUGAAUGCCCUCCAGGGAGACACAAGGAAGGAGUCUGCUGUCAAAGAGAAUACAAAGAAAGAUUUGGGUGUGUGGCUGUAAAAAUUGGCAUUUUGAAUUAGAUUUCUAGUGCACCUUUCAUUCUAAGGGGAGAAAAAUAGGCCCAGGGAGAAGUAACCUCCUUGAUCCCACACGGCCAGUUGCUGGAGAAAGGCAGAGACUAGAAUGCAGUGCUGGGCUGACUUGGAUGGUCAAGUGCAUUCCUUCUCCAACACUUAGCAUCAUUUAGCAUCAUUCCACAAGGGAGUGAGAAGGCAGGGGGGUAUCUGAUGCUGACAACAGUCAUUUCCCCCCUUGUAACAUUCUUCACGGUCAGCCCUGGGAAUCAGAUUUCUGCUUUUUAGGGAAUUCAAGACCAGCUACAGUCACCUAGUAUUCUGUGAACAGGUGCUGGCUUUCUUCUUCUUCUUCUUCUUUUUUUUUUUUUUUAACACUUUAUAUCAUUUAUUAAUGCAGUAUACGUUAGAUCUAAAAUCUGUAGUUUCUAAGCACACUAUGUUUAGAUCUUUCAGAUCCUUCUGCAGUUUUAGGUUAUUUCUACAGAGGUACCUUUAAGUGAAUAAAUAACACAUUCUAUAAUUCCUGAAAAUAUAGAGUGAAAUAAUUUAAAUAUAAUUUGGGCACAUAUUGAUUAUGAAAAUAGAUUAUUUCUCAAUACAAUACUUCUCUGUCUUGGUAAAAAUAAUAAAGCAAAGCAAAUAAUUCAUUUCUGAAGUUGCUUUCCUUCACUUGUAAAGGUCUGAUCUCCUCCCACUAUGCAUAUGUACCCUUUACUGUUAAGGAAAGCUUUGCAUAUGUAGAUAUAGAAGAAUAAGCUACAUAAAUACUAAAGAUAUGUCAUUCUCCCAAAGGAGACACGGGUUUUUCAAUGAUUCCUUGCCUCAUGUUGAUGAGUCUGUAGAAUUCAGAACCCAUUUGGACACAGCUAAUAUCCCUGCUCUUGCGGUAGAAAUAAGGACACCAGGUCACUGGUAGGGAGGUACAGGCCCUUCCUCUGCUGCUGCAGAGAGGUAAUGACUCGAGAAAACUAGGCUAAAAUUUGUUUAAAAAAAAAAAACCUAAAAAAUAAGUAAAAGAAUCACAGGUGCUGACUGAUUGGUAUUACAUCUUGGACCAGCCAAAUGCCUUUAUUUUUACUUUAUAUAUAUUUUUUGGUGGCUGUAAUCAAAUGUGUUUAAAAUUCCUCAUUCCCAACUGUGGGGUUCUAGCUGCAAUUAUAUUACAUUGCCUUUUAACAGGCAACUCUACCAUCUUCAUUCAUAUAAGCUUUGAUUGCAGUAGCUCUGGAUUUAGUAUCUAUUUCUAAGCUGGCCCUAUAUAAACUAUUUGGUAUUUGAAUUAAAUGAAUAUUAAUGACAGACCUUGGUUUUUUGGUUUUGAAGUAUCUUCCUAUGCUUGUGAUGAUUGUAUGAGAAAACUAGGCUAAUAUUGUAAAUAGAUAGAAUUGCUUGGUCUGGUGUUGCGUGGAACUUGUCUAGAAUGAAAUUCUGAGAAAUUCUCAUUUAUAAGUGUUGUAGUGAUAGGUAAGUUCUUCAUCCAUCCGGAGUUCCACUGUACCUUUGGAAUGACAGUGAUGUACAAUGAUGUCUUUCUUUCCACUCUGUCUCAAUCAGUAAGAACUGGCUAUUACUUUAAUUUAGCUACUGUUUUGCCCUAAAAAGUAAACAUUAUGAAAAUGAGCCUGAAAAGAGUCUUAGGGAGUCUGAUCUCACCAUAUUCAUACGGUGUGACAGGUAUUUAAAGAGGGGAGGCAUCACUAAAGCUAUUUAUGAACCUGAACAAUGUUUUUCAAGUUUUCAUAAAGUUUUAACAAUUUAAAUAUCUAUACUGCAUCUAGGUAUUCAAUAAAUAUAAUUGCAUAUGUUGUGCUUUCCAUAAAUUAAAAUCCUCAAAUGCCUCUCAAACCAGGAUGGUAUUUCCACAUCAUGCCUAUUUAAAAGCAAACAUAAUAGAUACUAUUCCUGGCCAUAAAACCAGGUAAACCACCCUACCCCGUUCAAAAGGCAGAAACAUCUAGUUUCCCUACAUAUAUUGAAUGAGUGCUUUUGUGUUACAAAUCAGAAUAUGGAAAAAAAGGUCAGUUUUUUCUCUUAUGUACCGCUGAGAACAAGCAUAAUCCUCUAAAUGUUUUUUUAAAAAAUUUCCUUACAGUGUUGUUUCUUCUAGACAACUGAGUGGGUAGAGAAAGAAAAGUGAUAAGGAAAACAUUUUCAUUUUCUACAUCUUCCUCCAGCCCCUAAAAUUCUCAUCUGACACUUUGUGACAUGUGUAAUGGUGUCAGCAUCUCUUCAAAUAUAGCUCCCUUCACGUUGGACCCUCUGAGGUUGGCUUCUUGAAGAUCACACCCAGACAGAUCACAGUUCUCUAAAUCAGUGCCUGCCAGAGUUGCUCCUCUGAAGUUACAGUUCUUCAACUUUGGAUUUUUUUAAGGUAGCCACUCUCAGGUUAAUUCCUGUCAUCUGACUUCCUUCCAUAUCAGCACCUUUCAGAUUAGCACCUUCUAAAUUGGCUUUAAGAGCAGAAGGAUCCUCAAAAUUACACAGUUUCAGGGAUGCUCCUUCUGCAUUAGAACAGAGCAUCUUGACUCCCUGGAGAUUUGCACAGUCAAGCACUGAUCCAGAGAGAUCAGCUCGUUCAAGAUUUGCACAGCAAAGAUUUGCAUGUGCAAGACUGCAGCGGCUUAAACUGGCAAUUUUGAAGUUAAUGUAUCGAAGGUCCAAACAAGAAAGAUCAGCACCACUGAAGUUCAAACCCUGGCAUCGCAGUUCUGACUUGGUUGGAGUUGCUAGCAAAAAUUGGACAAAUUCCUUUCGGGGUAUUGGUGAAUGAUCCUCCGGUGGUUGAGAAUUCUUUAUUGCCACUUCUAGGUGUUCAAUCAAUGAAUAAAUUUCAAAAAAUCUUGCUGCUUCUAACACACCCAAUAAAUUAAUGCCAUUAUUUACAAUGAGCUGUCCACAAAGCAAGUAAUUCAAAAUGGGUUCAAAGUACACAGGACUUCGGUCAAUUAAGAAAGCUCCUCUAUGAUCUUGCUUAUUUCCCCAGACACCUUUGUCCUUAAACAUGUGGACCAGCAUACUGUCAGGUUCUUUAUUCACUGAAGUGCUCCGUGUAGUUGUAAAGUACCGCCCCUCCAACAUUUAAUGUCAGCCAGUCUGUGUGGAAUCCUAACAAUCCUUCAGGAGGCUUAGAAUCUGCCUGAGGAUCUUCCGUUCUUGGGGCUGCCAUUCAGGAACAGGGCCACCCGCCUCAUCGCGCUGCCCCUGCUGGGUCCUGAGUGAGCCGCCACCCUCCCACCUGGUCCUCCUCCCACCUUUUUCUCCUUCCGCCCUUCCCCUCCCUCUACCCUCUCGGAUUCGCCUCCCUUUGCCACCUUCCUGCCCUUGGAGAAUACCACACACACACCCGCUUUCUUCUAAUGGUAUUACCAAGAUUAAUGAGCUAAACAGAACAUACAUUGAAAGCAUUGUGAUUAACUGACUUGUAACAACUGCCUAAUGGUUCUCUUAUAUUUUUGGGUUUAUUGUAAAUAACAAAAUGGCACCUCAAGUGGUUGAAUCUCAACUACUUCAAGGUUUAUUCUCAGGUCAGGUACUUUAUCCUCAAGGUUUUAUAAGUAUAUUCCCCUCAUUUAUAUUUCAUUCAUUCAUUCAUUCCCCAGACAUUUAUUAAACAGUUUCUUUGUUUAAUAAAUCUUAGGCUCUAAGAUGGGUACAAUAUUGUCCAUUGACUUUGCAGCUCACUGUCUAGUAUGGGAUAAAAGUCUGUAGACAAAUAAUAGCCAGUAGAGUGUGCUAGCUGCUACCUUAGAGGUGUAGUAAAAGUGCAAAGAGUGGUUGGAAAAAAAAAUCUUUGAAGAGAUAUGAGUCUUGAAGUUGGAAAAAAGCAGAAGGGGGUACUCCAGGGAGAGAGAUUAUGAUGGGGAAAUGUGGAGGUAUGGCUGCAUGUCAUGAUUAGAAACUGCAAGAUUUAUUCUGUUACAAAGAUACAUCCACAUGUGUGUUUAUUGCAGCACUAUUCAUAAUACCAAAGACAUGGAAUCAACCUCAAUGCCCAUAAUUGAUAGAUUGGAUAAAGAAAAGGUGGUACAUAUACACCAUGAGAUACUAUGCAGCCAUAAAAAGGAAAGAGAUCAUGUCCUUUGCAGGGAUAUGGAUGGAGCUGGAAGCCAUUAUCCUCAGCAAACCCACGCAGGAACAGAAGACCAAACACUGCAUGUUCUCACUUAAAAGUGGGAGCUGAACAAUGAGAACACAGGGACACAGGGAAGGGAACAACACACACUGGGGCCUGUUGGAGGGUGGGGUCGGGGGAGGAAGAGCAUUAGAAAAAGUAGCUAAUGCAUGGGGGGCGUAAUACCUAGGUGAUGGGUUGAUGGUACAGCAAACCACCAUGGCACAUGUUUAUGUAACAAUCCUGCACAUGUACCCCAGAACUUAAAAUAAAAAUAAAAAUUUAAAAAAGGAAAGAAUUUUUUUUAUCCCAACCUCUAGACCACUUGGGAAGAUUAGUGUGUAUGGAUGAAGCACAGGGUUCAAAAUUAGGAAUGACAGUAGAUAAGGGUGGAAAGGGGAGGCUGAUGCUGGAUCACCGGGACUGGAAAUGCCAUGCCGAGGACUUGACACUUGAUCCUGUACUUUGUAGGGAGCCACCCACUGAACAGCUUACUAGAAAAUGUGCUUCUUAGAAAAUGUCACCCAGAUGGCUGUAUGAAGAGUGGAUUAAGGGUGACAAGAAUGGAGGCAGGAUUAACAGUUUGGCUUAUUAAAAAAAAAAAAAUCAUUGGUAUUUAACCUCAUCCCCAAAGAACUUAAAAUACUUUAUAAAAAUAAAGAGCAAGAGAACAAAGCAUUUUAUGAAGAAAUUGGGGGGUAGAUAGGGAGAGAAAGAGGACUCUUGGGGUAAAAUUAUACAUUAAAAUGCAUGUCCCAGGCAGGGCGCGGUGGCUUAGGCCUAUAAUCCCAGCACUUUGGGAGGCCAAGGCAGACAGAUCACUUGAGGUCAGGAGUUCGAGACCAGCCUGGGCAACAUGGUGAAACCUUGUCUCUGCUAAAAUACAAAAAAUUAGCCAGGCAUGCUGGUGGGCGCCUAUAGUCCCAGCUACUCAGGAGGCUGAGGCACGAGAAUUGCUUGAACCUGGGAGGCGGAGGUGGCAGUGAGCCAAGAUUGUGCCACUGCACUCCAGCCUGGGUGAUAGAGUGAGAUUCCUUCUCAAAAAAAAAAAAAAAAAAAAGGAAAAGAAAAUGUAAGUCCCCCUACUAAAAGUGGGUUGCCCAUUCCUGGUACUGAGAUUUACAAAGAGAGUAGUGCAUUGACUUAGUGUUAAUGUCCUCAGCAACAUCGAUGUGAUACAGGCUGAUGGAAGCUCACGAACCCCAUUUGUCCUUCCUGUGCUCACAGGAGGACUAUAUUUUCCAGUCUUCUUUUUAGUUAGGCCAGUGGGGCACGGGCUAUUGGAAUGUCAUGGAUGUGAUGUCAUCUAUUUCAGUCUUCCAACUCUUCCUUCCCCUUUGCAUAGAUCUUGGAAGGCAUCAGUUUUAAGUGGUGUGAACUUCAACACACUUUGGACUUUUUAUGAGCGAGAAAUUAAUCCUUAUCUUGUUCAAUCACAGAGAUUUUGGAGUUCAUUACUGCAGCAUAUGUUAACCUCCCCUGAUUAAUAAAAGCCCUAUUGUAAACCUAUUUUAAAAAUCAGCCAAACUGUUAAUCAUGCCUCCAGUCUUGCCACCCUUAAUUCACUCUUCACACCGCUGUCUGGGUAUCUGUCUUUUGGAGAGUAGUAGGAAAUUAAUUUUUUGAAUUUGGUAGCGCUAACCUGGUCAGUGGCAGACAGGAUUAUUAUAACACGGUCUCUGGAGAUGCAUUUUUCCCUCCAUUAUUCACUGGCAAUAGCUCAUCGGGCUGCUUCAGAUUUUCUGGAAGCCAUGAAGCCAUGACAAGCCUUGAUUCUCUGCUGAUGAUUUUUGGUCAGUCCUAUGGUCAUGAUUAUAAUUCACUGCAAAUGUAAGAGGGCAUUCAGCAACCUCUGAUUAUAUAUCAGUCUUUCUAUUUUUUUGUUGUUGUUUCUUUGAAAGCACUUAAGAUGCAAUGAAGUUUUUUUUUUUUUUUUUUUUCCCAUAGACAAUGCCUUUUUCUGUUGCACAGGCUGUAGUGCAGUGGUGUGAACAUAGCUCACUACAGUCUCAAAUUCCUAGGCUCAAGGGAUCCUCUCACCUAAGCCUCCAGAGUAACUGGGACUACAGGCACACACCACUGCAGCCGGAUAUAUAUACAUAUACAUAUGCAUAUACAUAUAUAUAUACACAUAUGCAUAUACAUAUAUAUAUAUAUGUAUACAUAUUUGGAAGAUGCGGGGGUCUUACUGUCUUGCCCAGGCUAGUCUUAAACUCCUGGCCUCGAGAUCCUCCCACAGCACUGGGAUUACAGGCAGAAGCCACCAUGCUUGGCCUGCAAUUGCCCUUUUAACAUCCACCAUAAUAGUCUUCCUUUGUUUCUUUCAGAAGUGUUGAGCGCUGCCUCUUGCACAAUUUUUGUCAUGAGUCAAAACCGUUCAUUAGAACACAAAGUAGAUGGAAUAACAACACAGAUAGCACCCUCAUUGACUAAAUGAUGCAGUGUGGUGUGCUAGAGCUCAUUGGCUGAGAGUGGAUGGUACCAUGAGUUGGGCCAACUCUUACUGCCUAAGAAUUUAUCAUAGCAUGCAGAACAUUGGGAAAAUACAGGAACGGUAUACUAGAGCAAGUUGUUUAUAUAUUUUUUAGAAAAAUAUUUCAGAAUCAGGAGGUUUAUAACAAAUACGUGCUGAUCAAGAGUUUGUUAAAUGGAUAUUAUAAGGACUUCUGUGUAGCUGCUUAUUAUAGCUUUCAAAGCAAGCAGCUGGCACAAUGCCACUGCACAAUUCAGUGUUUGUCAUUCUAUGAGGAUUAAAAGUGAUGUGGUCCUGGUAUCUAGUUCUCUGAUCAUCAGGAAAUAAUGGUCUCUCCCAUGAAAUCAUGCUUUGAUACUGAGCUUGUGAUCAAUAUUCUGGAUGACAGAAUAGUGAGAUUAUACUCUUACAAAUUCUCAAUGGAUGGUGUUUUAGGUUUCCAAUUUGGGGAAGAUAUAUACACUUUAUUAGAUAGUUGCAGUGGGCAUAGCCAGAUGUCAAAUUCAGAAAAGUUGUUUUCAUGGAUGAAGCGCAUUGUUUAUUCCAUUUUGAUGUAGUUUUAUUCUUAUUUAUAAAAUAAAAAAAUGCCGGUGUUUUUCCAAUACAAAAACAAAUGGGACGAUUAAUUCCAUGUUUCUAUACAAUAUAGUAUAAUCAUGAUAUCCUUAGUCUUUCCAAUAUAAGUGGGAAAAAGAAGACAUCUAAAUUAAAGUAAUAUUAGCUUUUGGUGAAUCCUUCAAGGUGAAGUGAUUAUAUUAAAUACCUCUCAGUAACCAAAUAGUCUUGCAAUGUGGGAUUUUUAGACAUGGAACAAAAACCUCAGAUUUUGUUUUGGAAUAGGUGAUCUUGAGUAACACCUUCUGAUAGCAAUAUAUAGCAGGGCCAAGUAUAUAUUAUUGUCACUCCUGAUCUGUGACAUUAAAGCCAUACAAUUCACCAGAGGGAAUUCCUUUUUCUUUUUUUCCCAUUAAAAAAAAUACAAGUGUUUGUGCUGAUGUUUUAAUAUCUGAAAUAAAAAAUCCUAAAAGCUAAACUUCUCACUUAUUUAAGUAAAAGAAUCAUUGGGACUCAAAGAGUUACUCUUUUUAGAAAAUUGCCAUCAACUACGUUGUUCCUGUUAGAACUUAAAGAGGAAGGAUUAGAUUCUACCAUUAAAAAUUGUUGUUUGAUAAUUCUGAAGGAAGAUUCUCUUUCUUUGGUGCUCUAUUAUAAUUAUUAUUACAUUUAAAAACAAAAAAAGCCCAGAGUAUGUAAAUUAAAACAGUUGGCAAGUCCCAACUGCUUUCCACCUUACCUUCUCUUUUUCCGUCUUUUAGCUAUUCUUUUUGCUGUUCACCCCCAUAUUUCUAAAUAAUGCAUAGACAUCACUAUUUCUUCUUCCUUCUUUCCCACCAAUUUCCAAGAUGGAAGGUGAGGAUUUCAUACUUUUACAGUUUCCCCCUGCCCCUCCACACACGUAACACCCUAUUCUACCAAUAUUACUAGAUACUUGAUAAAUCAAUAUUUGUUAUGACUAUGUAAAUAGUAUCCAUUGCUGUGCCUUCUAGUGUAUUAUAAUUCCAUUUACUUUUAUUCAACUUUUUGCUUUCUAUAGAUCAAGUAUACUAUUUAUUUUACAUUUUCAACCUUUCUAUUUACCUGUUUAAUUUUUUUUUUUUUUUGAGGCGGAGUCUUUCUCUGUUACCCAGGCUGGAGUGCAGUGGCACGAUCUUGGCUCACCGCAACCUCUGCCUCCCGGGUUCAAGAGAUUCUCCUGACUCAGCCUCCUGAGUAGCUGGGAUUACAGAUAUCCACCACAACCCCCAGCUAAUUUUUGUAUUUUUAGUAGAGAGGGGGUUUCACCAUGUUGGCCAGGCUGGUCUUGAACUCUUGACCUCAAGUGAUCUGCCCACCUCAGCCUCCCAAAGCGCUGGGAUUACAGGUGUGAGCCACCAUGCUUGGCCUUACCUACUUAAUUUAGUCCCAAACUGUAUCUGUUAAAAUAUAAAUUUCCCCACAAUACAUUCAAAUGUAGUGGGCAGGCCUGCCUGCCUGCCUGCCUGCCCUUCCUCCCUCCCUCCCUUCCUCUUACCGUCCCUUUUUUCCUCUCUCCCUUUUCUCUCUUUUUUCAUUUCCCCAACUGGUGACAUUCAUUCUGUAGCCCCAGAUUCCUCUGCCCCAACCUGGAUGAGUUCUCUCCAGGAAGAUGUCUGAGUACUGGUUUUCCUUCUACUGUCACCGUGGAAAUUUCCUUUGCCUCUUUCCUGAAUUGGAUUCCAUGCCUUCUCCUUUCUUGGUUUAUUGCUAUACUUGGUCAAGCACAUCCCCCUGAAACUUUUCGUAAAAGGGUACUCAUGUAAAAGGGCACAUCACAGGUUAAUUUUUUGAGAUUUUCCACGUUUGAACAUAUUUUUAUUCUACUCUUACACUUGAAUGAGUUUCAACUCUGCAUUAGUCAGCUUGGGCUGCCUUAACAGAAUACCACAGACGGGGUGUUUUAAACAACAGACAUUUAUUUAUUUUCUCACAGUUCUGGAGGCUGGAAGUCCAAGGUCAAAAUUCCAGCUGAUUCUGUUUCUGGUGAGGGCUCUCUUCCUGGCUUGCAGAUGGCCGCCUUCUUGCUGUGUCCUCACAAAGCCUUUCUUCCAUGAGUGGACACAGGGACAGAGAGCAAGAGUGAGCUCUCUGGUGUCUCUUUUUAGAAGUACACUAAUCUUAUCACAUCAGUGCUCUAUCUAAAUGACCUCAUUUAACCUCAAUUACUUUCUUAGAGGCUGGAUCUCCAAACAUAGCCACACUGGGGGCUAGGGAUUACAAUUAUUUUUUUCCUUAAAAUUUUGAAGGCAAGUUUCCAUUACCUUCUAGCAUUCAGUGAUUUUGAGACGUCUGAGACCAUCCUCAUUACAAAUCCUGUGUAUUGAACUGUUUUGUCCUUCUGGAGGCUUUUAAGAUCUUCUCUGUAUCCCCAGGCUUCUGAAAUUUCAUGAUGAUGUGCUUUAGUGCAUGUUUUCCUAAAAAAAUUCACGGUGUGGAUGAAAAAUUGUGGAUAUUUUAAAUUGAGAAAUUCAUGUUAUUUAAUCUGAAUGUUAAAAAAUUCUUUUUAGAUAAUUUAUUUUCUAUUUCCUUUUUUUACAAAGAAUUUCUAUUUUUCUGAUUUAGAUCUCCUGAUGGAUCCUUUCUUUUUUUACUAAAUUGUAUUUUUCAUAUUUAAUUUCUGUGUCUUUUCAUUCCCUGUCUAUUGAAUGUUGGUAUCUAUAUCUAUCUAUAAAUAUAUAUAGCCCUGAGGCUAGAUAGUAAAGGUAUACUGUUCUUUCUACUAUAUGAAGGCAACUACCUCUGAUUAUAUUGCUAAUAAGGAUGGAAAAAAUUGCUAAGUGCACACUAAUUUCCAGGAGCUGUGUUAAUUUUCUCUAGUGAAGAUACCACAUUUGCAUUGCAGCAGUGGUUGGCGUCACCAUCUGCUACUGUUUGUGACAGUCUGUAGUCAUCUUUGUGCCCUUUCUGGCUUUGGCAUUGGGAAAACAGAUGCAUUUAAUGGUGUUGUGUUGAGAAUUAUCACCCUGGGUGUCUAAAGUAGUCAAAUUCACAGAAACAAAGUAGAAUGGUGGUUUCCAAGGGCUGGGAAAAUGGGGAGAUAGGGAGUUGUUGUUUAUGGGUGUAGAGUUUGAAUUUUGCAAGAUGAAAAUGUUCUGGAGAUCCAUCACACAAUGUGAAUAUAUAUAACACGACUGAACUGUGUGCUUAAAAUUGGGUAAGAUGGUAAAUUAUGUUAUGUGUUUUUUAUAAUUUUUUUGAAAGCAAAACAACAAUCAAAGAAUUAUCACUGCAUUUCUCAAAUAUUUGAUGGUGGCAAUUAUUGCUGCAAUUAUCAUGGGGAUGUAGCAUUGUUUGUGGUUUACUAUCUCAGUAAAGGCUGAAGCAGUUCCAGAAGUUUCUACUCUGCCCUUCCUACCCAAAUAGCCCUCACUUCGCUGACCAGAGAACCAAAGUAGGGAGUCUACCAAUUACUAAAUGUAUCUAUUCCCACUGUACAUUCUGAGGUUAGGGAAAUGACCGUAGAUAGAAUGGGUCUCUGGUCUUCACAGCCAAUAUCUAAUAACGCAGAAGGUCAGGUAUUUCACUUUCCCCAAUAUUCAGAUAGUCUCUUAAAUGGCAGUAGGACCCUCUGGGAAAGCCCUGGGGGAUGAUUUAGGGUGAAUAUCUGUGGCCGCAUUGCAGGAUCCUUCCUCAAAGUUCUUGCUCAGUCAAAGGGUUUUGGGUGUAUAUACUAUGUAUUUGUUUUUUAGAGUCAGGGUCUCCCUCUCUUGCCCAGGCUGGAGUGCAGUGAUGCAAUCGAAGCUCACUGCAGCCUCAAACUCCUGGGCUCAACGGAUCCUCCUACCCCUUGGCCUCCCAAAGCACAGAGAUUACAAGUAUGAGCCACUGGGCCGGCCAGGUGAACUCACUUAGGUGUGGAAACUAGUUAAGAGGCCGUGAAUUCCUUGCUGCAGCAGCUAGAGUGAGGUGUCUGCCCAGCAGACCUGGAAUUCUUCCAUUUAUAAUUACCAAGCAGCAUCCUUGUAGUCUGUCCACCCCUUUCAUUGACAGGGAUUCCACGAUCUAUUAGACAACCCCGGAAUCCUGCGAGUCUAAACCCUCCGAUAACAACUUAGUUCUUAUGGCUUUAGUGAUCAUUGUGCCCUCCUCGCCUGUGGUGGUCAGGGUUGCUGCCUGUCCUCCAGUACACUAGGAUCCCAUUUCCCCACCAAAGCCAGGGAGCGUUGGUUCUUCUGCAGCGUUUCCCUCUAUCAUCAUCGGCUUAUGGAGAAGAGCUACUGCAGACCUUUAAAAGAUGCCGAUUACUGCCUUUCCCACCAACAAAUGUCUUCCCCUCUCAUCAAUGAAUUACUUAAUUUCCUAAUGUCUUGGUGAAGGCAGUGUCCUCAGGUCCUUCUAGUGGGUAAGGGUAGGAGUGGCUAUGGAGGUCGCUCAUAAUAUAUCUGUUUCAACAUCUCCACCUCACUGAGCUUUUGGAUUCCUUCUUCUACAGUAAACCAGAGGAUUUUUAGCAUGUUAACCUCAUUGACUGCUUCUCACUCUUGAGUCCAGGCUUCAGUUAACCAAUCCAGUAGACUGGUAACACUACUCCCUGGCACUGAAGCCAGUUUAUUAAAUUCUAAUUCUGGGUUACACAUACCCAUAUCAAUACAUGCAGUCCAAACAGCUUUAUAUAUUUCAGUUUCCUGGUGCCAUGCCCUUCAAAUUGCUCCCAUACAUAUCCUUCAGAAUCCUGUAGGGGACAUUGCACUUCCUUGUCCUAUCUCUGUUAGGCUCAAACUCUCAUCAUGAACUUGGAGACAAGAAUGGUUGAGGGUCUGGCCAGGUCCUGAGCAUAAGAAACAUUCAUUUUUGAAGCAACUACCCCCGGUACAAUCAUUGAAAAUUUUUUUCUGCCCCAGGAAAAAGGCAGCGAAACUCAGAGUGGAGAGGGAUUGAUUCCGCUUUCAAGGAAGGUCCAAAAAGAUCUGGGGGUUCAACACACUCAGCCUCAUUUCUGAUUGCUCAGAUGACCUCUUCCCUAUCUCAGGCUUCCCCUCCUUCAUCACCAACCAAUACCCUUAUCGUGGUGAACAGACAUGACAGUGCUGACCACUUAGUGGGUUUUUCAACUCUAUGUCUCCUAAAAACAGGCUUGCUCUUGGGCCUCAGCUAUUUAUUCUGUUACUGCGUAAGACAAAGGACUCUUAACCAAUCUACCUACCUUCCUUCCUUCCUUCCUUCUUUCCUUCCUUCCUUCCUUCCUUCCUUCCUUCCUUCCUUCCUUCCUUCCUUCCUUCCUUCCUUCCUUCUUUCUUUCCUACUGAGACAGAAUCUCAUUCUGUCACCCAGGCUGGAGUGCAGUGGUACAAUCAUGGCUCACUGCAGCCUUGAAUUCUUGGGCUCAAGCAAUCCUCCCACCUCAGCCUCCUGAGUAGCUGGGACCACAGGUAUGCACCACCAUAACUGACUAAUUAAAAACUUUUUUUUUUUUUUUUGGUAGAGCCAGGGUCUACAUUGCCUAGGCUGGUUUUGAACUCCUGGGCUCAAGUGAGCCUCCUGCCUUCCCAAGGUGUUGGGAUUACAGGUGUGAGCCACUGUGCCUGGCCUGGUUUUCUAUGUUUGUUUUGAGUUGAAUGAUUACCAACUCCAAUUUCUUCUUUCCCCUAGGUAUCCUCUCUAGGGAAAUCAGAAAAAGCCAGCUGGUCCCAUAAUCUUUAUAAUCAGCCCUACAUGUUUUAUAAGUACUGUUGUUGCCAUAGCAAUGAUAUAUCCCAGACAGUUUAUUUUUCAGCAACUUGCCUCCUACCUGCAGUUCAUCCCAUCCCUACCUGUGAUGAUCUAAGUAAUGGUGAUGCCAACACAUGCCAUGGGUUACUAGAACCCCACUUCCUUUUAACAAGGAGUUUAACAAGGAGGUUAUUUGCGAGCUUCUCAAAUAUGUAUGAUAAGCUCAACCAAGAAUCCCGUUUUGAAAGUCUUUUUCCUAGUUUCACUCUAGGCAACAAUGACUCUAUCAGUCAGGGUCCUGUCAAGAAACAAAUGGCAUGCCCAAACUAGUUAUUUGGAAGAGGAUUUAAUAGGGGACUAUGCCUAGAGGUGCAGGUAAGGUUUGAGGAAGCUAGCUGAUGCAAUUAUAGGACUACAGGUUAGUAACUGUGGGAAGUUGACAGCACCGGCUGGAAGAGGCAAUGGGAGGAUGGUCCUGGAUCUGGAGAGGCAAGCUCUGGGCAGAUACCUGCCUGUCAAAGCUUGGCCUUUGGGAGAAGGAGGAAGCUACUCAAAGGAGGUAGCAGGGAAAACAAACCCUUUGACCUUUUUUAUUUUCAUUUUUGUUUUUUACUUUUUCUUUUCUCUUUCUUUUUUUUUUAAAUUAUACCUUAAGUUUUAGGGUACAUGUGCACAAUGUGCAGGUUAGUUACAUAAGUAUACAUGUGCCAUGCUGGUGUGCUGCACCCAUUAACUCAUCAUUUAACAUUAGAUAUACCUCCUAAUGCUAUCCCUCCCCUCUCCCCUGACCCCACAACAGGCCCCGGUGUGUGAUGUUCCUCUUCCUGUGUCCAUGUGUUCUCAUUGUUCAAUUCCCAUCUAUGAGUGAGAACAUGCAGUGUUUGGUUUUUUGUCCUUGUGAUAGUUUGCUGAGAAUGAUGGUUUCCAGCUUCAUCCAUGUCCCUACAAAGGACAUGAACUCAUAAUUUUUUAUGGCUGCAUAGUAUUCCAUGGUGUAUAUGUGCCACAUUUUCUUAAUCCAAUCUAUCAUUGUUGGACAUUUGUGUUGGUUCCAAGUCUUUGCUAUUGUGAAUAGUGCCGCAAUAAACAUACGUGUGCAUGUGUCUUUAUAGCAGCAUGAUUUAUAAUCCUUUGGGUAUAUACCUAGUAAUGGGAUUGCUGGGUCAAAUGGUAUUUCUAGUUCUGGAUCCCUGAAGAAUCGCCACACUGACUUCCACAAUGGUUGAACUAGUUUACAGUCCCACCAACAGUGUAAAAGUGUUCCUAUUUCUCCACAUCCUCUCCAGCACCUGUUGUUUCCUGACUUCUUAAUGAUCGCCAUUCUAACUGGUGUGAGAUGGUAUCUCAUUGUGGUUUUGAUUUGCAUUUGUCUGAUGGCCAGUGAUGAUGAGCAUUUUUUCAUAUGUCUUUUGGCUGCAUAAAUGUCUUCUUUUGAGAAGUGUCUGUUCAUAUCCUUCGCCCACUGUUUGAUGGGGUUGUUUGUUUUUUCUUGUAAAUUUGUUGGAGUUCAUUGUAGAUUCUGGAUAUUAGCUCUUUGUCAGGUGAGUGGAUUGCAAAAAUUUUCUUCCAUUCUGUAGGUUGUCUGUUCACUCUGAUGGUAGUUUCUUUUGCUGUGCAGAAGCUCUUUAAUUUAAUUAGAUCCCAUUUGUCAAUUUUGGCUUUUGUUACCAUUGCUUUUGGUAUUUUAGACAUGAAGUCCUUGCCUGUGCCUAUGUCCUGAAUGGUAUUGCCUAGGUUUUCUUCUAGGGUUUUUAUGGUUUUAGGUCUAACAUGUAAGUCUUUAAUCCAUCUUGAAUUAAUUUUUGUAUAAGGUGUAAGGAAGGGAUCCAGUUUCAGCUUUCUAUAUAUGGCUAGCCAGUUUUCCCAGCACCAUUUGUUAAAUAGGAAUCCUUUCCCCAUUCCUUGUUUUUGUCAGGUUUGUCAAAGAUCAGAUAGUUGUAGAUAUGUGGCAUUAUUUCUGAGGACUCUGUUCUGUUCCAUUGGUCUAUAUCUCUGUUUUGGUACCAGUACCAUGCUGUUUUGGUUACUGUAGGCUUGUAGUAUAGUUUGAAGUCAGGUAGUGUGAUGCCUCCAGCUUUGUUCUUUUGGCUUAGGAUUGACUUGGCAAUGCAGGCUCUUUUCUGGUUCCAUAUGAACUUUAAAGUAGUUUUUUCCAAUUCUGUGAAGCAAGUCAUUGGUAGCUUGAUGGGAAUGGCAUUGAAUCUAUAAAUUACCUUGGGCAGUAUGGCCAUUUUCAUAAUAUUGAUUCUUCCUACCUGUGAGCAUGGAAUGUUCUUCCAUUGGUUUGUAUCCUCUUUUAUUUCAUUAAGCAGUGGUUUGUAGUUCUCCUUGAAGAGGUCUUUCACAUCCUUUGUAAGUUGAAUUCCUAGGUAUUUUAUUCUCUUUGAAGCAAUUGUGAAUGGGAGUUCACUCAUCAUUUGGCUCUCUGUUUGUCUGUUUUUGGUGUAUAAGAAUGCUUGUGAUUUUUGCACAUUGAUUUUGUAUCCUGAGACUUGCUGAAGUUGCCUAUCAGCUUAAGGAGACUUUGGGCUGAGAGGAUGGGGUUUUCUAGAUAUACAAUCAUGUCAUCUGCAAAUAGGGACAAUUUGACUUCCUAUUUUCCUCAUUGAAUACUCUUUAUUUCCUUCUUCUGCCUGAUUGCCCUGGCCAGAACUUCCAACACUAUGUUGAAUAGGAGUGGUGAGAGAGGGCAUCACUGUCUUGUGCCAGUUUUCAAAGGGAAUGCUUCCAGUUUUUGCCAUUCAGUAUGAUACUGGCUGUGGGUUUGUCAUAGAUAGCUCUUAUUAUUUUGAGAUACAUCCCAUCAAUACCUAAUUUAUUGAGAGUUUUUAGCAUGAAGCAUUGUUGAAUUUUGUCAAAGGCCUUUUCUGCAUCUAUUGAGACAAUCAUGUGGUUUGUGUCAUUGGUUCUGUUUAUAUGCUAGAUUAUGUUUAUUGAUUUUUGUAUGUUGAACCAGCCUUGCAUCCCAGGGAUGAAGCCCACUUGAUCAUGGUGGAUAAGCUUUUUGAUGUGCUGCUGGAUUCAGUUUGCCAGUAUUUUGUUGAGGAUUUGUGCAUCGAUGUUCAUCAGGGAUAUUGGCCUAAAAUUCUCUUUUUUUGUUGUGUCUCUGCCAGGCUUUGGUAUCUGGAUGAUGCUGGCCUCAUAAAAUGAGUUAGGGAGGAUUCUCUCUUUUUCUAUUGAUUGGAAUAGUUUCAGAACGAAUGGUACCAGCUCCUUCUUGUACCUCUGGUGGAAUUUGGCUGUGAAUCCAUCUGGUCCUGGACUUUUUUUAGUUGGUAAGCUAUUAAUUAUUGCCUCAAUUUCAGAGCCUGUUACUGGUCUAUUCAGAGAUUCAACUUCUUCCUGGUUUAGUCUUGGGAGUGUGUAUGUGUCCAGGAAUUUAUCCAUUUCUUCUAGAUUUUCUAGUUUAUUUGUGUAGGGGUGUUUAUAGUAUUCUCUGAUGGUAGUUUGUAUUUCUGUGGGAUUGGUGGUGAUAUCCCCUUUAUCAUUUUUUCUUGCAUCUAUUUGAUCCUUCUCUCUUUUCUUCUUUAUUAGUCUUGCUAGUGGUCUAUCCAUUUUGUUGAUCAUUUCAAAAAACCAGCUCCUGGAUUCAUUGAUUUUUUGAAGGGUUUUUUGUGUCUCUAUCUCCUUCAGUUCUGCUCUGAUCUUAGUUAUUUCUUGCCUUCUGCUAGCUUUUGAAUGUGUUUGCUCUUGCUUCUCUAGUUCCUUUAAUUGUGAUGUUAGGGUGUCAAUUUUAGA
rnacentral:lncRNA from 1 species